rnacentral:misc_RNA from 1 species
AAGUCGUAACAAGGUUUCCUUCACCUAUUGAAGCCUUCAGCAGCGACUGUAAAAAAAAUGCGUAGUUUGCUUGCAAGCAAUGCCACUCAAAUGCUGAGACAUAUGAAUCAGCAGCCUUCUAGGCUCACAGAUCAAAUUGUGGUAACCAUUUUCAUGGGCAAGAUAUGACCGGUCUUAACUAGAGUUAGUUAAGAAUCCACGUUCCGUAGGUGAACCUGCGGAAGGAUCAUUAUCGUACAACUGAGGUGCAAGGGCUGUCGCUGACCUUCAAGGGUCGUGCACGCCCAAGCUCUCUCACAC